rnacentral:rRNA from 1 species
UACGAAGGGGGCUAGCGUUGCUCGGAAUCACUGGGCGUAAAGGGUGCGCAGGCGGGUCUUUAAGUCAGGGGUGAAAUCCUGGAGCUCAACUCCAGAACUGCCUUUGAUACUGAAGAUCUUGAGUUCGGGAGAGGUGAGUGGAACUGCGAGUGUAGAGGUGAAAUUCGUAGAUAUUCGCAAGAACACCAGUGGCGAAGGCGGCUGUCUGGUCCGGUUCUGACGCUGAGGCGCGAAAGCGUGGGGAGCAAACAGG